rnacentral:lncRNA from 1 species
GACAGGUCCCCUAGCAGCAUCUCUACAUGGGAAAACUCUGACACUCCACCCCUUUCUUCAUGGGAAGCUGCUUAGAGACAUGCCUGCUUCUGUCGCUGCAUCUUUGAUAGGUAGAGUUUGAGCAUUAGCUGCUGCAUAAUUUUCAGGCAACGUGGUGUGGUCGUUACAAGAAUUUGUACGAAUAGAGUGCUUGUGAUCAUGUAAUAAACUCUGAACUUCGGAGAGUUACUGUUGUCAUUUUAUAUAAAUUUCAUUCACUAUGAGAAGAUUAUAGAUGUGGGAUAAGCUUAUUGGGAAGAUUACUCCAGACACAGGUUGAGCUGAAUUCUAACCGAGCCAACCAUACCAAUUCAUCAAGGUGACUUUCAGAAUCACGAAACUGGGAUUUUGUGCAAUUCGACUCGUCCAUACAUACUAGAGUGACACUCUAUUCACCUCAGCCAUGAUUUCAUACUUUCAAGAUUUAAUCUUUGCACAGUUCUCUCUAGAUUGGUUAGUAUUCAUUGAAGCAAUGCCGAGAGGCACGUUUUCUAUAGCAGCACGAUUGCUGAACUAGAUGGCAUCGUCGUUGCAUAAAAGUAAAUUGCCACCCGAUGCUCUCGCGGUCGUAAAACUAUUGUUGAUCGCUGUUCUGACCCGUGUCGCUCCGUGUUGCUUCUAUCGAAAGACCGUCAAAGGCUCCUAAGGCACAGUCAGAUCGAUCAUCAUAAGGUAAUGCAUGUGCGGACUAUCUUGCGAGUUGCUAUACAUAUACACGGAGUUUUUUUUUUUUUUUUUGGUAAAAACAUAUAUACAGAGUUUCAACUCUUAUUUCUUCAUUUUUUUUUUUUUUUUUUUGUCGAAUAGAAGAAAAAGAGCGGUUGGAGAUUUUGAGCUUUCCAUUUAGGGAAAAAAAAUUAACAAAUAUCAUUACAUUAUAAAGCUUCCUAUUCGAAUGGUCAAUUAAUGAAAGUAUAGUUUUUGAGAGGGACGUGUCACCCUCUCAAGAACUCCCCAUCUAUGUCGGAUGAUAACAAGACAUAUUCUAUUAUAGGUUGAAUUCCAGGGAUGUCAGGGAAACCAAUUCCCUAGAUGAUUCCCUUUGAAAAUGAAUGUUAGACUUGAUGGCGAAAUUCGGGUGUUGAUACAUAGUACAUUUUACCUGUCCCUUUCUUUCGGGCGACGAUGGUCUGCCUGAUUCCCUGCACGACCGAGAUCAAGAAAUUGAAGGAGUACGUUGGAGCUCUGUCCGUGAAGCUUACCACGGAGGAGGUGGAGGACCUGGGAUUGAUUGCUUCUGCGGAUAAUAUCAAGGGUGGCGGGUGCAAAAGCGGCAUGGCUACAGGGACAAAGCGCCGUUCUUCAUGGAAAGCUGCUUUGAAAUGGGUCUGCUUCUGUCGCUGAAUCGUUGAGAUGUAGAGCUUUGAGCAUUGGGCGCUGCAGUGUUUUUGAAACUAUGUUGUUCGGCCGUUUUAUAAGCAUGUGCGUGAACAGGGUACUUAUUCCCCUGUUUUAAGCAUGAUGAUCGAUCAAAGCUCUCCCGAUUGUGCCUUCGGAGGCUUCAACAGUUUUUUAAUAGAAGCAAUACGCAGCAACGUGUCUCGGUUGGCAAUUAUUCAACGGUUUUUCAAUAGAACCAAUACAGAGCGACGCGCCCUGGCUGUUGAUCAGAGGUGAAGCAUGGUUCCAAAUUAAAAUCUAAAACCAAAGAACCGGAUCGCCAGGAACUUAUUCGAUUCGAGAUUCCAAGAUAUAAGAUAGGUUUCAAGUUCCAAAAUUUGAAAAAUAUGAAAUUUCAGAUUCUAAGUAAGUAGAACUUAAAAUUUGUUUUUGUGUUUUUCUUGAUUUAUAUUUUGGUGUGGUCCUGCGGUAUUCCAUGAUAUAUAAUGAUGAGUGUAUAAUUUGAAACUACUAGUCUGAGCUUUCAUUUUAUGAUUAAGACUUUUAUUUUGUUAAUAUGUCAUAUUUUUCAUGUAUAAAUAUAAAUUGUAAAUUGUGGUUAGCAUAUUGUAGUUACAAAUAAUAGUUAUUAAAUGUGAUGAUUAAUUGCAAUCAUUUAAUUAAAAAUACACGUAGAAUUUGCCUAAAACCUAAAAUUGACCUUGAAAUUCAUCACCGGAUAGAUUUCGAGUUUCAAUGGAAAACUAUAUAAAAUCUGAAAACACUCUAGUGAGUGACAAUGGAAAUAGUUGACCGACCCUGAAGUCCCAUCAGCAAUGUCAUCAGCAAUGUCUGUGUAUGGUAAUCAAUCCUCAGAGAAUGUCGCAAACGUUGUAAGCAAAUCCUCUCCUUUUCAUUUGCUCCACUCUUUUUGUUUCUUCCUUUUUGUUUUUAUAUUGCUUGAUAUUUAGAAAUUUAUGAAAUACUUUCAAGAUCAUGAGCACACAGAGAGUACGAGAUGGUUGUUAAUAAGUUUGACUUGCUGAAACAGAUGUCCAAGUUUUUUUUUUUUUUUUUUGACAAGAAACAGAUGUCCAAGUUAGUAAGAAGACUAACGGUAUGAAAUUUCGUAGUUUAGUAUACAAAAAUGCAAUUGACGAUAUCUAUGUUUAGUACACUACAGUCUCGGUUCGUCGCUGUCUCAAACUAGAACCGUUUCUUCCUUGAGUUGACCCUCUUCCUGCAUCACGGUCGCGAGCGAGAACGACGACGGACGGCAAUGGCGUCGUCGACGCCGGUGGGGAGGAUCAAGUUGGGGUCGCAGGGCCUGGAGGUGUCGGCGCAGUGGGCAUGUCCGUCUUCUACGGGCCUCCCAAGUCGGAGCCCGACAUGAUCGCCCUCCUCCGCCACGCCGUCGACUCUGGCGUCACCUUCCUCGACACCUCCGACGUCUACGGCCCCCACACCAACGAGAUCCUCAUCGGAAAGGUCGGUGCUUUCGGGAUUUCGAGCCGCGCGGUCGCUAGAAAGGCUCGACCUCUCGCAUCAGCUUAGCUAAAUUCGUACAGGGUUUCGCGUGAUUUUGGUUCCGAAUCCCUCUUCUGGACUCCCCAGUCCCCAGUGUAAUCAAUUCUCAUGCUUUGCUCUUAGUUUGAGAUGUCAGACUCUCGCGGUUGGGAACGCAAAAUGUCUGAAACCCUGUGAAAUAUACUGAGUUUUGAGAUGCCAGAAGCAUAGAUGAGCGGUCUGAACGGUCGCCCCAAGCGGGUUCUAGUUAUUAAGCGGUAUGAACAGUCGGCGGUGCUCGCACAGAUCUCUAUGACGGGCGACUAGGCUUACUGAUUUGUGUGGGGCAAAUUUUUGUAGUUUACUUUGGUGUUGAUUCGGUAUGGAAUUCGAGCAGGCGCUGAAGGGAGGGCUGAGGGAGAGAGCACAAGUGGCGACCAAGUUCGGGAUCAGGUCCGAGGCGACCCUGCAUACGCGAGGGCGUCGUGCGAGGCCAGCUUGAAGCGGCUCGGCCUCGAUUGCAUUGACCUCUACUGCCAGCACCGCGUAGACGCUCGCGUGCCCAUCGAAGUCACUGUAUAUCCUCGUUCCACUCUUUAAAUUGCUUUAAUAGGUUGAAGCACCGGGAUGGUUUCACUGUGUAUCUUGUGUUGCGACGAUUAAAUAUGGCUUGUGUCAGUUCCUGGAUCAUCCUCAAUGCAUUUAGUUUUUAGCUCUGGUUCUGAUAAAUUAGAGAUACUACUUUAAGUUUAUUUAAUGCCUAGUUUGUUGUUCUUGCAUUAAGAUGUGUUUAUAUCGAUUGAUCUAGCUGAUCGUGGCUGAGUCAAAAUGAAAUGGUUUGAAAAAGUGGAGAACACAGAUUCAGAUAUACAAAUUAAAAGCCGACAACGUGCACCAAUUUCUGGAUCUCCGACACUUAAGGUCCUUCUUCUUGUUAUUGGGUCAUGUGAAUCUUCAAAGAUUGGGGAGCUAAAGAAGCUAGUUGAGGAGGGAAAAGUCAAGCACGUCGGUUUAUCCGAGGCUUCCGCUUCGACAAUCAGAAGAGCCCAUGCUGUUCAUCCCAUAACAGCGGUGCAACUGGAGUGGUCAAUGUGGUCGAGACUCGUGGAGGCAGGUGUCAUUCCCACGGGCCGGUAAGACAUUAACGGGAACUGACUAGUUUCUUUGUGAAGUAGAGACAGUCUUCAUCUGACUCUGAUCUUCCUCGAAACGGUUAGUAGGGAGCUCAGCGUCGGAAUCGUUUCCUACAGUCCUUUAGGGCGAGGAUUCUUUUCUGUAGGUUCCAAGUUGUUCGAGAAUCUCUGCAAGGAUGACUUCUGACAGGUCUGCGUGUACCGAUCAGCUCACAGUCACCGUCAUUCACAUCAAAGUGCGGGAAAAUCAUCUGCUAACUUUGAUAUUUGCUGUUGGUUUACCGGCUUUUUUUGUAGCAUUCAGAGAGGCUAGAGAGCAAUUGUCGACCUGAAAGCUUUAUAACCAUAUUUGUCUUCAAUGCCAUGCUGAGAAGUACUUUGUUUUAUGCAGUACCUGCCCAGGUUCCAGCCGGAGAACUUGGUUCACAAUGCAAAGUUAUUCGACCGAUUACAUGAAGUUGCAAAGAGAAAAGGAUGCACCCCGUCACAGUUAGCCCUUGCCUGGGUACACCACGAGGGCGACGACGCCUGCCCGAUUCCCAGCACAACCAAGAUGGAGAAUUUCAACCGGAACAUUGGAGCUCUGUGAGUGAAGCUUACACCGGAAGAGAGGGGCCGAGCUUGAAUCGAUUGCUUCCGGGGACAACGUCAAGGGCGGCAGGUACCGUAGCAGCAUCUCUACAUGGGAAAACUCCGGUACUCCACACCUUUCUUCAUGGGAAGCUGCUUAGAGACAUGCCUGCUUCUGUUGCCGCAUCUUUGAUAGGCAGAGUUCGAGCAUUUGCUGCUGCAUAAUUUUCAACUUCUAGAAUUGCGAAACUGGGAUUUUGAGCAAUUCGACUCAUGCAUACGUACUAGAGUGACACUACUUGCCUCGGCCGUGAGUUCAUACUCUCAAUCUUUGCAACAUUCUCUCUGGAUGAAGGCUAAAGAAAAAAGAUGAAAAGAUAAAGAAAGGAAAGAAAAAGGAACGAGAAGAAAAGGAAAAAAAAAAAUCAGAAGAAGAAGAUUGCCGCUUCAGUUGUCGUGACCUUAUUCAAUCAGUGUCCCUGGCAAGUUGAGCCCUACUUAUUUCUUCCUUUGACUUUUCUUUUGGCCACCAAUUAGAAAGUCCUUAAACGACUUUGAUCGCCAUCCUGACACGCGUCGCUCCGUGUUGCUUCUACCGAAAGAUCGUCGAAGGGCUCCUAAGGCACAACCGGAUCGAUCAUCAUACUUAUUGAGAAGGUAAUAUUCGUAGGACUAUCUUGCUAGUUGCUAUACAUACAUUUGGAGUUUCAAUUCGUAGUUUUUCACUUUUUUCUUUGUUGAAUAAAAGAAAAAGAGCAGAAGGACAUUUUGAGCUUCCCAUGCAGGAAAAAAACAAAUUUAGCAAGUAUCAUUACGUUAUAAAACUUCCCAAAUGGUGGAUAUAUGAAAGUAUAGUAUAUUUUAUAUGUCUCUUUGUUUCACAAGGAAUAUAAAGCUAACGUGCGCCAUGUCCAAACGGAUUUUAUGACUAGUCUCGAAAUUUGAAAAUUCUAGAUAAUCUAAUUUAACUAGUAGAAUGGGUCCGUCUCUACUUUGAUUUCUUUUUAAUUCGCAGCGCUCCAAAAGAAUUUUGCAACGUACAGAUUUUGAGGUGUAGAGGUAGAAAAUAAUUUUGCCUUUCUAAUUAUUGAUUCGGAAUCUGUAGUAGGAUUAUGCCCCAGGAUUAGAAGAAAAGCACAAACAAGGGCGUUGACGGUGGCACGUGCGUCAGUCCACGCAAUCCAUAAAAGCAAACCCUGGCCCAUCUAGAAAGGCAAGGGACGCCACCCUCUAGAAAGUGCAAGGUAAGGUACCAUCUAAAAUCUUGCUCAAAAAAAAAAAAAAAAAAGGUACCAUCUAAAAUCCUUAAAAGCUUUUCGACAAAAAAAAAUCCUUAAAAGCUUUGACUAUUUGAGACCCGUCGCUUACGUGGAGCCUGUCGAGUUUCCCAAGAUUCGGACAUGGCUACGCUUCUGUCCGUGUCUGUCUUAUAUUCCUCCUGGAGCGUGCAAUCAUCUUGCACCAACUUAUUUCCUAGCGGGCGUGGAGACAGUUGGCAACGAGCCGCCAAACGAAAGCUUGCGAGCUCUCGAAAUCGUUUCUUCUCGACUCUCUUCUCGCAUCUGCCCCGAGCUAGACCGCAGCAAUGGCGUCGCCGGUGAGGAGGAUCAACCUGGGGUCGCAGGGUCUCGAGGUCUCGGCGCUGGGGCUGAGCUGCAUGGGCAUGACCCCCUACUUCGACCCUCCCAAGCCCCGCGCCGACAUGAUCAACCUCAUCCACCACGCGGGCGGACGCGGCAUCACCUUCCUCGACACCUCCGACAUCCGCGCCUCUCACGGCAACGAAAUGCUCCUCGGAGAGGUCAGUUUUUUUAGACCAUUUUCAGGUUUCGGCUUCUUAGCUCAACUGGCUGAUGGCCCCGUCGGCCCAAAAUCUGUAUGUUAAUCAGUGUUUGUUCGCCUCCCUUAUCCGUGUUAGGAAUAUAUAUCACCAGAAAGAAGAUGAAGAUGGUGCUGGUGGUACUGCAGACGGUGCUGCUGAAACUGUUGCUCAUAUUAAAACAGAGGAUCCUGCUCCUGCUAAGGCUGAUAAAACAAGAAGAAAAUCAGCAGAAACGGAUGGCUAAGAUCAAAGUAAUGAAGAUGAUGAUCAACGAUGGAAAAGCAGUCAAAGAAGAUAAACAAGGAUCGUGGAUGCGGAUUCGUAUUAUUCCUAUGGAGAUACAUGAAGUCGGUGGUUAGUUAUAAAGUAAAAACAGAAGUUAGUUGCUUCUGUUAAGUCUUCCCUUUCCAUAUAAAGCUUCAUAAUGAGAAAGAGAGAAGUAAGAAGAGUAGUCAGUUUUGUGAAGAAUUCUUUCUUCCGGUUAUCAAAUAAGCUAGAGAGAGAGAGAGACUGAUAAGAAUACAGAGAGUUUUUCUUCCAUUGAUGUAAAGAUCUUGAUGUACAUUGAGAUCAAAUACAGAAGAAUAUAUACAGAGUUGUUCAUUGAUCAAUCUCAAUCUCUACAUCUAUACUUUCCUAUUUUCUGUGUUUUCUGUGUGCUUCAAGCUCGCUGUAACAGGAACUUCAGCAUUGUUGAAUCUUCUGUACGAAUAUAUCAUCUUCUUCAUGGUAUCAGAGCACCAAUCGAUCAUCUCAGCCAAAAAGGAUUCACUCAGUAGCUACUUGGUUGAUCGAGCAAGAAGAAUCUGAAGCCAUACAGAUUACUGUAUCACGGUAACUCUGUUAGUUUUUCAUAGACAAAAUCGCUAUCUUGAUUCGUCUAUAAUUGAAAGAGUAUAGCAAUGGCAAUAAGAGCAUCGAAGUAUCCUUUCCCUAUACUUGUUAAUAUUUCGAACUUUGUCACUAUAAAACUUGCCGAAGACAAUUUUCUUUUAUGGCAAGCUCAGAUCUGUAGNNNNNNNNNNNNNNNNNNNNNNNNNNNNNNNNNNNNNNNNNNNNNNNNNNNNNNNNNNNNNNNNNNNNNNNNNNNNNNNNNNNNNNNNNNNNNNNNNNNNACAAAACUAGGUUAUCUUUCGAAGCCGCCACCGCCGCUUUUUAUAAAAAAAAUUUCUUAUUUUUUUAAAUUUUUAAAAUUUUUUAAAAUUAAAAUUUUUAAAAUUUUCUUUGUUUUUAAAUUUUUAAAAUUUUUUAAAAUUAAAAUUUUUAAAAUUUUCUUUUUUUUUAAAUUUUUUAAAAUUAAAAUUUUUAGAAUUUUCUUUUUUUUUUAAUUUUUAAAAUUUUUAUGCUGAUUUGGAGCUCCGGCGAGCCACGUAGGCAAAAAAUAAUAAUAAAAUAUUGCCACGUAGGAUUUCCGGCAAGGGUCACCGGAGGUGGCACUUAAGUGUCCCACUCGAAAAAAAAAGUGGCACUUAAAUGUACCGUUUUGAAGUUAUGGCACUUAAGUGUCCCGGCGUGCCAAGUUAUGGCACUUGUGGUGGACUUCUGCCUAAAAUUUGAAACCACUCACGGAAAUAGUUGACCGACCCUGAAGUCCCAUCAGCAAUGUCUAUGUAUGGUAAUCAAUCCUUAGAGAAUGUCGCAAAAGUUGUAAGCAAAUCCUCUCAUUUUCAUUUGCUCCACUCCCUUUUUUCCUUUUUUUUUUUUUAUAUUGCUUGAUAUUUAAAAAUUGAUGAAAUACUUUCAAGAUCGUAAGCACACAUAGAGUACAAGAUGGUUGAUAACAAGUUUGACGCUGAAACACAUGUCUAAGUUAGUAAGAAAAUUAAUAAUAUGAAAUUUUAUAGUUUAUUACCAAAAAAAAAAAAAAAGAAUUGUAAUCAACAAUAUCUAAGUUUAGUACAGGACAGUCUUUGUUCGUCGUUGUCUCAAACUAGAACCGUUUCUUCCUUGAGUUGAUCCUCUUCCCGCAUCGCAGUUGCGAGCGACAAUGAAGACGAACGGCAAUGGCAUUGUUGACGCAAGUGGGUAGGAUCAAGCUGGGGUUGCAGGGGCUGGAGGUGUCGGCACAAGGGCUGGGCUGUAUGGGCAUGUCCGCCUUCUACGGGCCACCCAAGUCGGAUUCCGACAUGAUCGCCCUCAUCCGCCACAUCGUCGACUCCGGCGUCACUUUCCUUGACACCUCCGACAUCUACAGCCCCCACACCAAUGAGGUCCUCAUCAGAAAGGUCGGUGCUUUAGGAUUUCAAGCCACGCGGUUGCUUGAAAGAUUCCACCUUUCGCAUCGGCUUUCGCUAAUUCACACGGAGUUUUGCGUGAUUUUGCUUCUGUUCCCUCUUCUGGAUGCCCAAGUCCCCAGUGUAAUCAAUUCUCAUGCUUGUGUCACGGGUCGGUCGGUUACGAUUGAUCAAAACACCAUGCGGCCUUAGCAUUAUUGAUCCCAAGUCAGCUUUAUGCACACACACUCGAACACAAGAGUCGAAUGGGCAAAGAGAGUGUAUAUUCACUUGUGAACGAACUAGUUACAAUGAGAGAGAUAGAUCAUUAUUUAUACAAAUGCAGUAUCUCAACCGUUGAUCGUCCCUCCGAUCCAACGGUGCAUUUUGAAUCCGUAUCAUUAUUACAAGGCUACACAGCAGGCUACUCGAUGGCUGUACAUGAUAGGCCCUUGAGAAGACCAUAGGUAUGUGUCAGAAGCAAGAUCCGGGUCUACAAGGCUGUCUGACACGAGAGCAGUUGAACGGUCACGGGCUGCACAUGGAUUGGUUGAACAUUGCUCAUUGGUCGUCCAUGGGUCGCACAUGGGCCUUUGCUCGUACCACUUAUGGAUUGAUCAUGGGUCGGUUGUGGGCUGCUCUUGGGCAACCCUUUGUGCGUGAGACGGCCAAUCACGGAUGGUCUUGGAUCAUGCUCUGUCUGUGGGCCAUGUCAUUCUCGCCCACCUAAUUUGGUGACGCCUUCGUCGCAUCUGUGGCAUGGAAAUCUUUAAUGUGUUUCUUAAACUACCAAAGAGCCUUGGAGGGUUUUAGCUUGCUUCACUCUUAGGAAGGCCCUUCCAUCGGACGAGGUACUCUUUCCUUGGUGCACAAUAUCUCUUCUGUAUGACCUAGUCCGCCAUGAUACAUUCAACAUCCCGAUCAUACAAGGUUCUUGCUCCAAGGGGUGCUCGUUGUGACUUGCCUCAAUUCGAGUCGUCCUUGUUCACAUGAAAAUGUUUCAGCAUACUUACGUGGAACACGGGGUGCACCUUAAGCUUGGUCGACAAGUCCAGCUUGUAUGCCACCUUCCCGAUUCACUGCAACACCCGGAAGGGACCUUCAUAGCAACGAAUUAGCCCUUUAUGCAUGUCAUGGUACCGAAGUACCAGGUGAAGUUUGGCCAACACUAAGUCCCCGACCUGAAAUUCUAUGUGCCGUCGCUUCUUGUUGACCCACUUCUUGGUGCGCUUGGCAGCUCUAUUGAGGCACACCCGCGCCAAGUCUGCAUCCUCAUCCCAUUCCUUAGCAAAUUUGUAAGCGGAGGGGCUACUUCCUCGAUAUCUUGAGACAAUCGCGCUUGAUGUAAGCGGUUGUUGCCCGGUCACGAUCUCGAACGGGCUUUGGUUCGUGGACUCGCUCCGCUGCAGGUUGUAGGAAAAUUGGGCCACGUCGAUCAGCCACGCCUAAUUCACUUGCGUGUUGCUCACAUAGUGCCAAAGGUAGAUUUCCAGCAAUGCAUUCACCUGCUCCGUCUGUCCAUCGAUUUGGGGAUGCAUGCUCAUGGAUAAGUUGAGGUCCAUCCCCAGCAACUUGAAGUGCUCAGUCUAGAACCGCCCGGUGAAUCGAGGAUCACAAUUGCUCACGAUCGUGCGUGUAACGCCCUAAUACUUGACGACAUGCUUAAGGAACAGCUUGGUGGCUUCCUCGACUGGACAUUCCUUUGCGGCUGGCACGAACGUCGCAUAGUUGGAGAAGCGAUUCACCACGACCAUAAGAAUCCGACACCCUUCAGACUUUGGCAAAUUCACGAUAAAGUCCAUGGAAAUGCUUUCCCAUGGACGUUUUGAAAUAGGCAAUGGCUCAAGGAGCCCCGCCGGUGACCGUUGCUCUAUCUUGUCUUGUUGGCACACAAGACACGUUCGCACAUAGGCUUCAACAUUGUCCCUCAUGUGUGACCAAUAAUAUUGAUCCUCAACGAGUGCCAUGGUGCGGUGGAUUCUCGGAUGACCUGCCCAUUUAAAAUCGUGGCACUCAUGUAGGACUUCUUUUUGAAGUUUUACAUGGAGCGGCACAUAGAGUCACCGUCCUUUGGUGUAGAGGAGGUCAUUCUCAUACCAGAACCGCCUUGUCUUGCCCUCUUAGGCGUACCGAAGGAGGGCUUGGGCUGUUUGAUAGUGCUUUAGCCCCUCCUUGAUAUGCUCGAUCCGUGGACAAUCAGGUCAACUCAUCACGUUGGUCAGCUCCAUCUUCCUGCUUACGGCAUCGACUACUAAAUUGGAUUUUUUGGGCUUGUAUUCCAGCACAUAAUCAAACUUGGCCAGGAAGUCUUGCCAUCGAGCUUGUUUCGGGCUAAGCUUCUUCUGGGUUUGGAAGUAGCUCAUAGCCACGUUGUUGGUCCUCACGACGAAUCGUAUCCCAAGAGGUAGUGCAUCCACGUUCGAAGACAAUGCACCACCGCGGUCAUCUCCUUCCCUUGGACCGUGUAUCGUCACUCGGUAUCAUUUAGUUUCCGAGACUUGAAGGCAACCAGAUGCCCUUCCUCCAUCAAGACACCACCGAUAGCAAAGUCAGAAGCAUCGGUUUCUACCUCAUAUGGCUUGAUGUAGUUGGGUACUACAAGCACCGGCUCUUUGAUCUUGGCGUGCUUCAACCGUUCAAACGCCUCUAGACACCGAUCCGUCCACUCCCAUGAUCUUUCUUUCUUCAGCAUAUCCGUGAGUGGCACGGUGAGGCUUGAGUAUCCUCGGAUGAAACACCAGUAGUAAUUUGUGAGUUCGAGAAAGAAUCUCAGCUUCGUCACCUUAGCCGGUGGCUUCCAUUCAACGAUGGCACGAAUCUUCGCUACAUCCAUCCGCACUUGUCCACCCCUGAUAAUGUGCCCAAGGAAAGGGACUUCCUUCUGAGUGAAAGCGCACUUCUCGCGCUUUACAUACAAAUCAUUCUUCGGCAGAGUUUGGAAAACUUGAUUCAAAUGCUCAACAUGCUCCUCGAGCAUCCGGAUGUACACGACAAUGUCGUCAAGGUAAACCACAUCGAACCGAUCAAAGAACGAAUAGAGUACCUUGUUCAUGAAAGUACAUAAUGUGGCCAACGCAUUUGUCAAGCUAAAAGGCAUGACGAGGAACUCAUACGAUCCAUAAUGGGUCACGCAUGCGGUUUUCAGCUCAUCUUCUUCGGCAAUCCGAACUUGAUAAUACCUCAAUCGAAGGUUGAGCUUGGAGAACCAUUGGACUUCCCUGAGCUAAUUGAACAAGUCCACAAUGUGCAGGAUUGGAUACUUGUUCUUGACAAUGAGCUUGUUCAAGACUCAGUAGUCUAUGCACAUACGGAGUGAUCCGUCAUAUUUCUUUUGAAACAACACCAGAGCACCAAAUAGAGCCUUGGAUAGCCGAAUAUACCCCACGUCGAGUAGCUCUUUCAGUUGUUUCCGCAACUCUUCCAACUCAGGCGAAGCCAUGCGAUAGGGUGCCAUGGCCGGUGGUCGAACAUCGGGAACAAACUCAAUCUGGUGGUUGACUUCUCUCCAAGGAGGCAGCUUCUUUGGUAGCUCGAGUGGCAUCACAUCUUGGAAGACAUUGAGGACUCGGGAUGUCACGUCCCGAUCCUUGGGCACACACCUAUCCCUCAACUGAUCGAUUAAUAGCAACGUCCCAGGAUGCAUCGUCGACCCUUUCCAUUUUAAUACGCAUGCAGAAGCAUAUAAAAUCCCCAGACAAUAAAACAAUGAGAUAGGAAAGUAGGGUCAUAAAUUAUUCAAACCGACAUCAACCUUUUAUAACAAACAAGUUUAUUUACAACAUCAGGUUUCUUACAAAAAUAUCGGUUUAAUAAAAAAGGAGCUAUCCUAUGACUAACGAGUCAGACAAAUUUGCCGAUUUUGUUUCCUUUACUCCCCCAAACUUCAAGACUUCUAGUCCUCCACCAUCAUUAUCUAAGGACUUGAAAUUGAUUAUAUAAUAACCAGUGAGAUAACGUAUCAGCGAGUUCUACUCCUUAAGACCCGAUUAAAAAGAAAAUAUGCCUUAGGGCUGCCUAAGCACAACCGCGGGUCAGAGGGCUUAUAUUGGCCUCAGUUUCCUCCCUGCAAGUCAGUUCAAUUAACAGAUACUGACAAUCAUCUCAUCCAAUCAAUCAGAUCGACUUAAAAAUCAAUCAACUCAGUCGAUUACAUGUCAUCAAGACCACUUUCUGGUCAUCUCAAUUAUUUCAUCUCAAUUCUUACUCACGGCUCAACGAGCAUAGUCUACCAAAUUCUUGGUUACCAAUCACGGUCCAAAUGACACAAUCUAUCUUUAGAUGGUAAUCACGGUCGAGUGGGCGCAACCUUUAUUAGGUGGCAGAUCACGGCCUGAUAGGUACAACCUCUAUCAAGUGGCAAAUUACGACCUCAAAGACACGACCUUUAAUAGGUGGCGAAUCAUGGCUCUAGUGGGCAUGACCUCUAACAUGUGGUGAAUCAUGGCCUUAUUGGGCACAACCAAUCCCAAUUCGGUGGUAAACCUUGGCCCAUCUGGCAUAGCCAUACUUCGGUGGCUUUUUAAGUUCACUCAUAACCUCUCACAAUCAAUUUCUAAUUGAAUAUCGACACUAAACGAUUUUGGGAUAAAUCCUCACGCAAUCGCCAAUUCACUUAAUUUUUUACAAACCAAUGCUUAAUUAAAUAAACAGAAAACACCACUGCAGUCAGCACGAAAUUCCGAUCAUUGGUUAUCCUAGUCUAAUUUCCAGAAAAUAAAUAAAUAAUUAAAUAAUUACGAAAAAUAUUAAAUAAAUGCAAUAAAUCAAACUUAGGCUUUUAAUGCCUAAUUGGAAGUCGAGACAGACCCGAAAAAUUUCCAAGGUUCGUUCAAUAAAUACUAGGAGCAAUUUCCUUGCUAACUACACUAACCAUUUGGCUAACAUGCAUUGAUAAGUCUCUAAUUUAAUUACUCUAAUCUAAUCUAUCCACCUAAUUGUAAUUAAUUAAAUCUAAUCAACCACUAAGCAUCAUUAACUAACUAAUAAGGGAUUAGUAAGUAAAAUUCACUUAAUUAAAAGCGGAGACCGGAACACCACGACGAUGACACAACGGCAGCUGAAAUCCAAAUUUUCGGUGACGUCAGCAAACACUCAGGCCGGGCCUAAAAGUCUUGCAAGCCCACAGCGAAUGCUGGGCUUGAUCUCGGGCUUGGGCUUGGUUGCAGGCUAGGCUAGCUUCACGGGCCCAAGAACUAAAUUGAUGGACUACUUCUUGGCUGAAAUGUGGGCUUCUAAUUUGGGCUAGACUUGUGGGCUUGCGCUGUUGAAUUGGGCUUGACUGCGCAGGCCUCAAGUGAGCUAGAAAUUUAGGCUUGAAGAUAACAUUCACGUGGGCUGUUGGACUUGCGUUGAAGCUAGGCUAAAGACACGGGCCUAACUGCUGGGCCAAAAUUUGCUAGAGAAGGCCACAUGAAAUGGAGCAGCUUUAGGCUUCGCUUGACUAAGCUGGGCCAUGAACAAAGGAAUGGAAGCAAGCUGUGGCGUUGAAGAGAGUCAACCUCGAUGGAGAUGAACGGCGAAAGAGUUGCUGGCGUUGAUCGGCGUGGGAAGAAGACGCAACGUGGCAGCAAGAAGGGGCAGAAGGUGGGAGCUACUGAAGACGAAGACAUGUGGCUUCGCUGGGGUCUUCAAAUUGUUGAAGUCCACGGACAUGAGGCUUCUUCGGUGGAAGGAAGUGUUGACCGAGAGUGUUGCAGGGAAAUGAAAUGUGAAAGUGGAGAAGAGCACGAGCUGGUGACCUUAGUGGGAUUGGGAUUCGGUGGAGUGGCAAGCUGUUUCGGUGGAAAGGAGAGCAGUCUCCGUGGCAGCUGGAGCUUCGGUUGUCGACGUUGGUGGGGAAGGCUUCGAUCGGCAAGGUUUCGUGGAGUUGGGGGCGUGCAAAUGAAACGGCAAGGAGGCAAGAGGGUUUUCAAUGGUUUUUGUGAAUGAGUCAAAAUGAAAGAAGAAGAGAAUAGGAGCAACUGGUCUUUUGCUGGAGGAGGAAUCACACGAAGAAGGCAAUGGAUGGGGGAAAGGAAAGUCAAGAUAAAUAUCCAAUAAUCAUCAUGAAUUGGUCUCUAAAGUCUUCAUGUAUAUCCUCUAUGUUCCCCAAUACUUUCUAGCAUAUAAUUUUCCCAAAUAAUCCAAUUUUUUAUGCCAAAAAUACAGCCCCCUUCAAAGCUCCGAAAUUCAUCAAUUUUAAGCUUCAAUUCUUCACCAAAUUCCCCAAAUUUAAUGUCCAAUUUCAUUGAAGAAAAUGUCCAUACCAUUUCUGCAAGUCCCCAACACUCAAAGACUUGGCUUGGAAGUCCAAAUUUCUACUAACUUAACCCAUCUGAAUUUCCGUUAAUUUUCCACGACGUCCUAAUUGAUUUUACGUAAAAAUCUUGGAAUCUCUGAAAAAAAAAUUCGGAGAAUGAGUCAAUAUUCCUAAAAUAGAUUGUGACAUGACGGAACUUUCAAUUUUUGAAAUUGGGUUCAAAUUUGCCGUUAAUUUCAAUCCGAUGCGAUUUUAGCGUGACCUAGUUUAUCAAGUAAUUUUUAGGAAUUUUUUGUGCAAUCGACCCAUGAUCGAUUUAUCUCAAGUCAUAUAGUGCAUUUUCGACACAUUGGCGAUCCUCGGUUGUCGUGAAAAUCUCGAGAUUUCAAAUACGGACACCGGGUAUAGAAAUGAUAGAAAAAUUGGUUUAGUGCCGUUCGACGAAAAUUUUGCAAUUAGGUGAAAUCACCCACACACUAAUCACAUAUCUCAAUCGAAUUAACCUAUCUCAGGUCUCUGAUCGAUUUUUGACAGUGCCGUAAUGACCAUUGCAGAUUAACACGGUCGAGUAGUCGAUUCCUAGUUGAAUUCUCAAGUCUAUUGCGUUAAAAUUCCUCAGCGGCUUCCCCAAAUAGUCGAGUUAUCUCGUGAAUGAUCAGCUUAGAGAAUAGCAUUAUAGGCGCGUUGAUGAAAGGCCUAAUUUAUUUAAUCGAAAACGAAAUCUGAAAAUUCAAGCUGUCACAUGGGAUAACUCUUCUAGUACCUCUCUUUCUUCCACACCCUCCUCCUUCAAUGCUACCAAGAAGGUCACCUCGCCCUUCUUCAGCCCUUUGGAUAGCUGCAUAGCCAAUAGCAUCUUUCUAUCGCGUCUAGAUUCGUGGUAGAUCGGGACCAUAAAUUGGCACCACUUGUCUAGGAUACAUAUGCAAUCCGCGAAGGGCAUAAUACCCGCAUUGAUUCGAUCGAGGAAUCCUAAACCAAGUAUGAAAUCAUAGUCGUCAAAGGGGAUUACAUCGAUAUCCUCUUUGCUGAUCCAUGAACCAAGGUGCAGCUCCACAUCCCUAGCCAUGCUGUUAGUCGGAACUUCCUUGAAGUUCAUUAUUUUAAGCCAACCGACAUCACUCGUCUCGACUGAAAGAUUCAGCUUCUUCGUGGCCUCUUUGGAGAUGAAGAGGUCGGAUGCCCCGGUAUCCAUGAGUGCACUCAUUGUGGUAUCACCAAUCUUCACAUCCACAAAUAUCAUUCCUUUGGGUUCCUUGGCCUUCUUAUCUUUGAUUGACCCAAGGAUCCGCAACGAUCCCAACCGCGCCUCCUCUCGCUGUCCAUUCUCUUUGCAUGAGGCCGCCAGCUUCCCUCUUUUCAGACAAUCUCGAGUCAUAUGUGGUCCAUCGCAAAAGAAGCACUUGUAGUGCGUACCUUGCGAUGAUAUCCUUCGCUACUCGACUCAAGUUGGGUCUUAUGAGGAACUGAAGGUGGUCUACCUGCAUUCGGACGGUUGUACCAAUUUCGAUCUCUCCCCACCAGUGGUCUUUUCUCUCGGUCGAGAGUCUAGUUUGGCCAAGGGCGAUGGUUUGUAUUUCACGAGGGACUUGGCCACAGAAGUAGCCAUUGAGAGAUCUGUUGUGUUACAUCAUUUAAGUUCUUGCUUGACCCAUGAUUUGAGUCCGCUCAUGAACUUGUGGAAUGCCUCCGCCUCGGUCAUGGACGGGAUUUGGAGUAGCAGCUUCGAGAACUGCUUCACAUAGUUACAGACUCCACAUUUUUUUCUAGGCGCUUGAGUUCCCUACGGGCUUACUCCUCUGCAUAAGUGGGAUAGUAGUUUCGCCGAAAUUCUUCGACAAACCGAGCAUAUGUCGUGAUAGGAUCACCAUUCCUACCAUUCGACCUACGACGCCACCACAGCAACGCAUCAUCAGAUAAAUACAUGGCCGCGGUGUUUACCAGGAUUACAUCGUCGGUCAUUCCCAAGGUCUGGAAGUAGUGUUCCAUGUACCACGGGAUGUUGUUCACGUCAUUUGUCACCCGUGAGCCCUUGAACUCCUUUGGCCUGGAUGCAUCGGUAUGUGGCUGCACGGUGAUUACCCCGUUCAUGCAUGUAGCUUCAAGCUCCGCGAGCUUGCUUUUCAUCUCGGCCAUCUCCACGCGCAUGGCUGCCAUCAUGGCCUCCCAAGUCUCAUCUCGCUACUACAACUCGCGCAUGGAUCCUAGCACCUCAACACGGAGCUCUCCCAUGUCGGCUUGGAGUUCUUGCACUUCGGCCAAGAACUCCUCCCUACCGACUUCCACUCCUUCAACAAUCUGGAAGCCAUCCAUCAUCACUUGGACGUCUGUGAUGGUCUCUUCUAGGACAGUCAUUCGAUUCUCUAGAUCCCCCUUCAAAUCCCUCAAACUUGAGAUAGCACAAUUCUUCUUUGAUCGGGUGGCCCUCUCAACUAGACACCCACGAUCUUCUCAAUCAUCGCCUUGAAUGACCGAAGCAUCAGCCCGAGGAUCAGCCAUUGCACUUGGAACGAAGGCUUUGAUACCACUUGUCACGGGUCGGUCGGUUACGUUUAAUCAAAACACCGUGCGGCCUUAGAAUUAUCGAUCCCAAGUCAAUCUUACACACACAUGCUCGAACACAAGAGUCGGAUGGGCAAAGAGAGUGUAUAUUCACUUGUGAACGAACUAGUUACAAUGAGGAAAAGGGAUUCUUAUUUAUACAAAUGCGGGUCGCAUCUCAACCGUUGAUCGUCCAUCCGAUCCAACGGUGCAUUUCGAAUCCGUAUCAUCAUUAUAAGGCUACAUAGCAAGCUACUCGAUGCCUAUACACGGCAGACCCUUAGGAAGACCAUGGGUGUAUGUCAGAAGCAAGAUCCGAGUCUACAAGGUUGUCUGACACGAGAGCAGCUGAACGGUCACGGGCUGCACAUGGGCUAGUCGAACAUUGCUCACGGGUCAUCCAUGGGUUGCGCAUGGGCCUUUGCUUGUACCGCUCAUGGAUUGAUCGUGGGUCGGUCGUGGGCUACUCUUGGGCAGCCCUCUGUGCGUGACACGACCGAUCACGGAUGGUCUUGGAUCAUGCUCCAUCCGUGGGCUCUUAGUUUGUGAUGUCAGACUCUCGCAGUUCGGAAUGCAAAAAUGUCUGAAACCCAUGAAAUAUGCGAGUUUUGAGAUGCGGAACCAUAGAUGAGCGGUCUGAACAGUCGCCCCAAGUGGGUUCUAGUUAUUAAGCGGUAUGGACAGUCGGCGGUGCUCGCGCAAAAUUCUAUGUCGGGCGACUAGGCUUUCUGAUUUGUGGGGCAAAUUUUUGUAGUUUACUUUGGUGUUGACUCGGUAUGGAAUUCGAGCAGGCACUGAAGGGAGGGCUGAGAGAGAGAGAGUACAAGUGGCGACCAAGUUCGGGAUCAGCUCCGCAGAUGGGAAGGGGAACAGGCAGGUCCGAGGCGACCCUGCGUACGUGAGGGCGCCAUGCGAGGCCAGCUUGAAGCGGCUCGACAUCGAUUCCAUUGACCUCUACUACCAACACCGCGUGGACGCUCGCGUGCCCGUCGAAGUCACUGUAUGUCCUUGUCCCAUUCUUUAAAUUGCUCAUUAGGUUGAUGUGCACCGGGAUGGUUUCGCUGCGUAUCUCGUGAUGGUUAAUAUGAUAGAAACUAUAUAAUGAGAGUUACUUUUGUGUUGUGACUAUCAAAUAGAUUUGUCUUGUGUGGGACUGAGAUCAGUUACUGGAUUAUCCUUUGUCCGACUAGUUUUUAGUUCUGGUUCUGAUAAAUUAUAGAUACUACUUAAGUUUAUUUAAUGUGUAGUAUGUUCUUCUUGCAUUAAGAUGUGUCGAUAUUGAUUGAUCUCGCUGAUGGUAGCUGUGUCAACAUGAAAUGUUUGAAAAAAAUUGGAAAACGCACAUUCAGAGAUACAAAAUAAAGCUAACAAAGUGCACGAAUUUCUGGAUCUCCGACACUUAAGGUCCUUAUUGUUGUUUUUGGGUCAUGUGAAUCUUCAAAGAUCAGUGAGCUAAAGAAGCACUUGAUGUACGCUACGAAAUUCUUAAUGCCUUCGUCACACGAAAAGCGAGGAGUUGACAGUUAAGGAUGGUAGUCAGCAGUUGAGGAUUGUAGCCUUUGCUGAUCCCUCAAAUCUUUUUCUUUACAUAGCUUCAGAGUCAAUACAUAACUACGAUCGAUUGAUACGUAAUUCAAAUGUACAUUUUCAAUCAUAUGAUUAAUGUGCCUUUAUUAAUUUUGUUAUUGGAAAUAAUAUAGUACACAUAUUACAAGCAUGCCUUUUUUGAAUAUGAUGCAAUCAAUUCUCAAAAAUUUGAAAUUUUGGACUUUAUGUAAUAUGAUAUAAACCUUUAUUCUAUUUUUAUUGAGGAUAAAUACCCAAAAGUCAUAAAUUAUGUUUAUUGUGACACAAAUAUUCAAUUUUUUUUUGUUAUAAAAAAUUUAAACUAACUCAUUGUGACAAAAAAAAAAAAGAGUCUGAAGUAUUUAUAUUAUAAUAGGUAAGUUUAAAAUUUUGCGUGAUAAAAAAAAAAAAAAAUCGGGGUGUUUAUGCCACGUAUGGUUUAAACUUUUUGCGGUAUUCAGCCUUUUUUUGUCAAUCAUAUGAGGUCGGCAUUUUCUCGUCAACGGGCCACCGGAGAAGUGGGUGACGAGAGCCUAUACGUCAUUUGCAGUCUCUUUUGACUCUCCACACCCAAUCAACAGCAGAAGAGAAAAGCUUCGUUGUCUUGUAUUGUACCGUGAGCGGGCGGGAGAGCUCUCGAACUGUCUCUUCUCCGUUCUCUCUUCUCUGCAUCGACCUCGAGCUAGACGACUGCGGCGAUGGCGGCGUCGACGCUGAGGAGGAUCAGGCUGGGUUCGCAGGGCCUCGAGGUGUCCGCGCAGGGGCUGGGCUGCAUGGGCAUGUCCGCCGGCUACGGCCCUCCCAAGCCCGAACCCGACAUGAUCGCACUCAUCCACCACGCCGUCGGCUCCGGCGUCACCUUCCUCGACACCUCCGACAUCUACGGACCUCACACCAACGAAAUCCUCCUCGGCAAGGUCUGCUGUUCAGUGUGUUAUGAAGCUUAGUCUCAGCUUCAGCACGAAGUAGAGAUGCUAUAGUCAUGCCGAAUUCCAAGAUCCUGCGACUUCGUUUUCUUUAUUUUGUACACAGUUUGUGGGUUUUCUUAUGGUGAUUUUGGUGUCGAUCUUGAGCAGGCACUGAAGGGAGGGGUGAGACAGAAGGUGGAACUGGCGACCAAGUUCGGGCUCGGCUUCACCGACGGGAAGUGGGAGGUCCGGGGCGAUCCGGCCUACGUGAGGGCAGCUUGCGAGGCCAGCUUGAAGCGGCUUGACGUCGAUUGCAUCGACCUCUACUACCAACACCGUAUAGAUACCCGCAUCCCCAUCGAAGUCUCUGUAUGGAUCCUCGUUGAAUCUUUGCCUCUCUUGAGACUUUCUCUGAGCCAUAUGAUCCAGUUGCUAAACUAAAUUGGUGUUGAUUAUGCAUCGUAAGCUCAGUUGCUAAACUAGAUUGGUAAUGAUGAUGCAUCGUUGCGUUGUUAAUGGUUUGUUGGACUUCGUGGCAGAAAUUGACUAUUGUCUUGCCUUUUGUCUUGGAAGAUAUUGUUAGCUGAGAAUUAAGUUCAGUUGAUAGUUCAGGUAGAGAUGUGGCACAACGUUGUUAAAGAAGUCAUGGAAUUUAGUAUUUCAGUGGCUGGGUUUUUGUCUUAUGGGAUCUUUCACAAAUUAAUGAUCGAUAAGGUUGAAGAUUAUUCGAAAUCUUCCUUUGAAAUGAAAGCGCUAUCAGGUGCAUCCUAAUUUAUAUUUGAGAAUCACAUUGAAAGUUGUACAUUCUGUAGAGACAUUUGAUUCUUGACAUAUCAUUGUCAAAUAUGACAAUUUCUUGGAAUACUUCUGUUAUUUAACCUCUCUGUCAUAGGUUAGAGAAAUCUACUUCCAUCAUUUGUAUAAUUCUGUUAUUUGCCCUAUUGUGUGAUAGAUUAGAGAAAUCUACGUCUAUUAACUUCUUAAUUCCUAGCAAAUUUUUUGUUGCAUAGAGAUGCAUAAAGAUUGACUGAUCUUCGCAGGUCAAAAUGUAAUGGUGGAAUAGGCGGGGAACACAUACUAUUCAGGGGCUAAUAAUGUGCAUGAAUUUCUGGAUCUUGACAUGUAAGGCCUUGACUGUUGUUGUUAUGGCAUGUGAAUAUUUGAAGAUUGGAGAGCUAAAGAAACUCGUUGAAGAGGGUAAAAUCAAGUACGUUGGUUUAUCGGAGGCCUCUGCGUCAACCAUCAGAAGAGCACAUGCUGUUCAUCCCAUCACAGCUGUGCAAUUGGAGUGGUCUCUGUGGACAAGAGAUGUGGAGGCAGAGAUCGUUCCCACGUGCAGGUAGGAUAUCACUCCGUCAAUUUGUUUAUGCGGUGACAACAGCUUUCUUCUGACUCUGCUCUUCUGGAACAUUGUGACUAGGGAGCUUGGCAUUGGAAUUGUUGCGUACAGUCCUUUAGGACGAGGAUUCUUUUCUGUCGGUUCCAAGUUGUUGGAGAAUCUCUCCAAGGAUGACUUCAGACAGGUCUGUUUCUGCUGAUCAACAUAAUUAGAUGCUCACUGUGACUGUAUUUUUUUUUUCGUUUGCUGGAUUACUACCAGUUCUUGUGAUAUACAGAAAAAAUAUUGGGUGGCGUAAAUAAGAAUCGGUGACACAAAGGCUUUAUAUUCUUGCAUGUCUUCAAUUCAGCACUCGCCAUAAAUCCCACCUCUCGUGAUUAUAGAUUAGUGUAAAAUAAUAAUCAAUUAAUAGCUUGAUAAGCCUAAAAGAGGCCGUUCCCGGUAUUCUCUUGCUCUUGUAAUGAACUAAUAUAGAUCUAUUUGUAAGUUCCUUUGUUUCCCAGCCUUCCCACCAUUUGCUACUCACUAUCCUUUCCCCACUUUCCACCCAUCCUUUUUCUCUCAUCUUUCUUCGUAAGAGUACGAUAUCUCCUCCAUAUAACUGACACCAGCAUCCUGUCUCGGGCCUCUGUCUUUUUUUUACACUCAUCUUUCCUCACAAGAUAAAAAAUAUCUUGACACUACCCGUUCUUGAGUGAGGACUCCCCAACACCCUUCUUAUGGAAGUUUUAGGAUUAUGUUACUGACAUAAACCCAAUUGUGGGAUACUGCUCAUAAUUAGUGGUUGACUUGUGACUGCGCCAGGUGAAGUAGCUAUUGUUUUUUAACGAAAAAGAGCUUUACUUCCAAUAAUAUUCUUCUACAAAUCAUCUAGAUUUGUGAUUUUUUUUUUUUUUAACUGUGACAAAUGGAUACCUAGAGCACUCGCUCUGCAUUUCAAAUGCUUAUGAUUUUGAACUACAUAGUCCAAUCCUUUCGAGAUAAACUUUUACUAAACACAAUGCUUACGAACUUCCAAAUGCUUAUCAUAUCAGGUGACAAGACAAUCUGAUAACAUGCAAUGCAACCACUUCUAGUAUUUUUUGCACUAGUUGCGGUAGAAUUUGGUGCUUAAAAGAAAAUGAUAGUUGCUCAAAUGCUCUCUGCUGAGACAGUUCUCUAUGUUAUGCAGAAUCUACCAAGGUUUCAGCCAGAGAACUUGGCUCACAAUGCGAAGUUAUUUGACCGAGUGAAUGAAAUUGCGCAAAGAAAGGGAUGCACCCCAUCACAGUUAGCCCUUGCCUGGGUACACCACCAGGGCGAUGAUGUCUGCCCUAUUCCUGGCACAACCAAGAUCGAGAAUUUCAAUCAGAACAUUGGAGCUCUGUCAGUGAAGCUUACACCAGAAGAGAUGGCUGAGCUCGAAUCGAUUGCUUCUGCGGACAAUGUGAAGGGUGACAGGUCCCCUAGCAGCAUCUCUACGUGGGAAAACUCUGACACUCCACCCCUUUCUUCAUGGGAAGCUACUUAGAGACAUGCCUGCUUCUGUCGCUGCAUCUUUGAUAGGCAGAGUUUGAGCAUUAGCUGCUGCAUAAUUUUCAGGCUACGUGUUGUGGUCGUUACAAGAAUUUGUACGAAUAGAGUGCUUGUGAUCAUGUAAUAAACUCUGAACUUCGGAG